UAGCCCGCCGGAUGAGGAGACCCACGCGUCGCGGUCAGGCCCAGGAGGCAGCCAGGCCUGAAGCACCCUGAGUCAAUGAACCAGUAAAUGGGAGGUGGAGGUUGAGUUGCAAAAGCGAAGUGCUUUCUUGCGUGCUCAUCUGCCAACAGGCCAGUAUCCUGAGAAGAGAUCUAAGCUCCAUCAUGCUGCUGAUGCACCCACGACACACAGAGGCCAGAAGACUCUUUAGGGAAAACUCCAAUGAGAUUCUCCUUCUCCAACUCAUCUUGAUUCUGCACCAGCCUAACAUGGUCACUCCCAGCAUUUCAUUUCCACUUCUGAAUUCAGCCCAAGAAGCACACAUUGCCUAGGAACUGAAGAAGGAACAUACGUGAACCAUGGGACAGAAACAAAAUGAGAAGGAAGAGGGGGAGAAGAAAGAGUACAGGCAGGGAGGGAGGGAGCAGAUUGGUGAUUUUAAGUGUGGUUGGAGGGGCACAUGGGGGAAUCAGCCUCUCUGGGACACAGGGCUUCCUUUGCGUUGGUGACUAUUAUAUAACUAGACAGAGGUGACACAGCACUGCACAUGUUCUAAAUGUCACCAAAUUGUACAUUGCAAAGGGUUCAUUUUAAUGUGAGAAUUCAAGUAAGAUAUAAAAUGCAAUAAUACGCCAAAUAAUAGAAAACUCCAUAACCACCCAUGCUGUGAAUUAUUUGAGGUCCCCACUUGGAAAAAUAAAGGGAAAAUACUCCAAGGUUUAGAACAUGUUUCUCUCACACACACCCCUCGCCCGCCCUCCCCACCUCGUUAGUGCCUACUGAAGUUUCAGAUUGUUUGUGAAAUUGCUAAUGUGUACUUUAGCCUCCACAUUAAAUUCUGGUUUGUACUUAAGCAUAUUAAAACACACCACUAAAUACUCACCUGACAA